GACGAACGCUGGCGGCGCGCCUAACACAUGCAAGUCGAACGAGAGAUGAAGAGCUUGCUCUUCAGAUCGAGUUGCGAACGGGUGAGUAACGCGUGAGGAACCUGCCUCAAAGAGGGGGACAACAGUUGGAAACGACUGCUAAUACCGCAUAAGCCCAAGGCUCGGCAUCGAGGAGAGGGGAAAGGAGCAAUCCGCUUUGAGAUGGCCUCGCGUCCGAUUAGCGAGUUGGUGAGGUAACGGCCCCCCAAGGCGACGAUCGGUAGCCGGACUGAGAGGUUGAACGGCCACAUUGGGACUGAGACACGGCCCAGACUCCUACGGGAGGCAGCAGUGGGGAAUAUUGCAAAAUGGGGGAAACCCUGAUGCAGCGACGCCGCGUGGAGGAAGAAGGUCUUCGGAUUGUAAACUCCUGUUGUUGAGGAAGAUAAUGACGGUACUCAACAAGGAAGUGACGGCUAACUACGUGCCAGCCGCCGCCGUAA
rnacentral:rRNA from 1 species